GGUAAUGCCGGAUGCUCCAGUUGAUCGCAUGGUCUUCUGGGAAAGCUUUCGCGGUAUGGGAUGGGGUCGCGUCCUAUCAGCUUGACGGCGGGGUAACGGCCCACCGUGGCUUCGACGGGUAGCCGGCCUGAGAGGGCGACCGGCCACAUUGGGACUGAGAUACGGCCCAGACUCCUACGGGAGGCAGCAGUGGGGAAUAUUGCACAAUGGGCGCAAGCCUGAUGCAGCGACGCCGCGUGAGGGAUGGAGGCCUUCGGGUUGUAAACCUCUUUUAUCGGGGAGCAAGCGAGAGUGAGUUUACCCGUUGAAUAAGCACCGGCUAACUACGUGCCAGCAGCCGCGGUAAUACGUAGGGUGCAAGCGUUAUCCGGAAUUAUUGGGCGUAAAGGGCUCGUAGGCGGUUCGUCGCGUCCGGUGUGAAAGUCCAUCGCUUAACGGUGGAUCCGCGCCGGGUACGGGCGGGCUUGAGUGCGGUAGGGGAGACUGGAAUUCCCGGUGUAACGGUGGAAUGUGUAGAUUCGAAAAAAAAACCCCCACCC
rnacentral:rRNA from 1 species